rnacentral:rRNA from 1 species
UGGGGAAUAUUGGACAAUGGGCGAAAGCCUGAUCCAGCCAUGCCGCGUGUGUGAAGAAGGUCUUCGGAUUGUAAAGCACUUUAAGUUGGGAGGAAGGGCAGUUACCUAAUACGUGAUUGUUUUGACGUUACCGACAGAAUAAGCACCGGCUAACUCUGUGCCAGCAGCCGCGGUAAUACAGAGGGUGCAAGCGUUAAUCGGAAUUACUGGGCGUAAAGCGCGCGUAGGUGGUUUGUUAAGUUGGAUGUGAAAUCCCCGGGCUCAACCUGGGAACUGCAUUCAAAACUGACAAGCUAGAGUAUGGUAGAGGGUGGUGGAAUUUCCUGUGUAGCGGUGAAAUGCGUAGAUAUAGGAAGGAACACCAGUGGCGAAGGCGACCACCUGGACUGAUACUGACACUGAGGUGCGAAAGCGUGGGGAGCAAACAGGAUUAGAUACCCGUGUAGUCCCUGAGCGGGCUGGCAAGGCGCAU